GUUCUCGCUUCAGCAGCACAUAUACUAAAUAAUUGAAACGAUACAGAGAAGAUUAGCAUGACCCUGCGAAAAAAAAUAAUAAUUGCAACGAGGAACUAUUUCCU